rnacentral:misc_RNA from 1 species
GGUUGACCAUCUCAAGGAACAAGCCUAUUAUUACAGGCAACAGAUGAUGAUUCUCUGAAUUUAUAUCAAAAUUUUAUUGAAAAGUUGAUGUAAUUUACCAACUUUAACAAGAUCCCAAGUGCUUUUCUAUUUAAAUUUUUUAAUAACAAAAUUAGAGUUCCAAUUAAAUUACAAAAGUAUAAGAAAGAAUUUUGAUCACAUAGCUUAUGAUUUUAAUAUCCACAUGUGACCCACCACAUAUUAGGAAUUUUGCUAAUUC